CUUCCUCCUCUCUCUCUGUCUCUCCACCCUUCCUUCCCCUUCCUCCCUUCUCAUCCUCUCCUCUGACUCCUUCCCUUUUCAUUCCCCCCUGUACCUUAUCCCAGAGUACAGCAAAUGGCCUUGAGUGCACACCAUGGAAAGCAGGAAGCAAAUCUGCAACACAACUCAACUCUGCCCCUCCCCCCCCAUGUCUACCACCACCUUAUCCAGUGGAAAGAAAGAAGCUGUGUCUCUCCAGGAGGCAAAACCAGCAGCUGUGAAUAGAUCAUCUCAGAGGGAAGGCACCAAUAUCGAGGACUGAGGAAGGCUUCUCCUAGAAGGCACUCUAUGUUCUAAAAAGACUUCCUUGAUCUUCUGGCUAGAAGAGAUUCUAUCUCCCACCUCCCUGGAACAUUCUUCCUUCUCUUCCUGGCUUCUUGGAAUUCUGCUGACCCUUCAAAGUUCAGCUCAUCAACCAGCUCAUACAAGGGGCUUCUCAACCUACUCCCCCUUCCAUUUGUUAACAGUAACUCCCUCUCUACCAAUCAGAUGGUAUUUGGAGGGGAUCAUAAAUUACAGAUGCAAAGCUACAAGAGACCUCAGAGGUGACCAAGUGCAACCUCUUCAUCUUAUGGACGAAGAAGCUGAUGCCCAGAGAGGCUGGUCACUUUGCUCAAGGACACCACGAUUAGUGGUAGAGCCAGUAUUUAAUCCCAGGUCCUCUGUCUACAAAUCAAACAUUCUUCUUUUUUUUUUUUUUAAUUUUUAAGUUUAAAUUUUAAUUAAUUAAUUUAUUUUU